CGUUGUCCGGAAUUAUUGGGCGUAAAGCGCGCGCAGGCGGUUUCUUAAGUCUGAUGUGAAAGCCCCCGGCUCAACCGGGGAGGGUCAUUGGAAACUGGGGAACUUGAGUGCAGAAGAGGAGAGUGGAAUUCCACGUGUAGCGGUGAAAUGCGUAGAGAUGUGGAGGAACACCAGUGGCGAAGGCGACUCUCUGGUCUGUAACUGACGCUGAGGCGCGAAAGCGUGGGGAGCGAACAGGAUUA
rnacentral:rRNA from 1 species